rnacentral:miRNA from 1 species
CUCUCAGCGGCCGAGAGGGAUUCCUCCCGGUCGAUGAGAGUGUACCUCUCAGAGGCCGAGAGGGAUUCCUCCCGGUUGAUGAGAGUGUACACUCUCAGCGGCCGGGAGGAAUCCCUCUCGGCCGCUGAGAG